UUGAAAGUAUUUUCUUUCAGUGUUAAAAUGUUAAAAAUGUCAACACAACCUAUCAAAAACAAAACUUUUUGUGAUUGUGUGGUUCAGUCAAGCAUCCAUCACAAAUCAAAACAUCAAUAAAAGUUUUGUUUUAAAAUCGCGUUUUUUAUGUUUUUUAAAAUUGCUGGAGUUUUCCAGUCAUUUAACGAAAGAUUCUGUGGAGGUGACGUUAUGAGCGAUGAUCAACCGUUAUCACGCAGAUCUGCCAUUUUCACCAGGUUUUCACGCAAAACUAAGUGUUUAUAGCGAAUAAUAAAACGGCUGCUACCAAAAUAGAUUCCUCUCAUGGCUCAUCGCGGAAGGAAUCAUUUAACCCCGGCUGCGAUACCAGCAGGAAGUUGAGUUCUCUUCUUGCCCAGCAGAUAUAUUGACCAAUGGUUCCUGAAUGGACCUUUGCUUUAAGCCUCAUAUCACUGGUCAUAUUCCGGAUCCUACAAGUAUUUCAAUAGUAGUGAUAUGGUCCCGAUAAGUCUCAUGUCUACCAGCGAUUCGGCAUAAAUUAUGCAUCGAGAUCGGGAGAUUUACCGUCAUAGCAUCAAUCGGAAUGUCUUUCUGGAGGACGGCAAUGGAAAGAUCCUGGAAAUUUAGAGUCGAGAUUUUGUAUAAGUCAAUUGUAAUGUAAUUUGUUUAUUUCCAAUCCGUCAAUUAAAAUAAUUCAAAAU